rnacentral:rRNA from 1 species
UACGUAGGGUCCGAGCGUUGUCCGGAAUUACUGGGCGUAAAGAGCUCGUAGGCGGUUUGUCGCGUCUGCUGUGAAAUCCCGAGGCUCAACCUCGGGUCUGCAGUGGGUACGGGCAGACUAGAGUGUGGUAGGGGAGAUUGGAAUUCCUGGUGUAGCGGUGGAAUGCGCAGAUAUCAGGAGGAACACCGAUGGCGAAGGCAGAUCUCUGGGCCAUUACUGACGCUGAGGAGCGAAAGCGUGGGGAGCGAACAGG